GACGAACGCUGGCGGCGUGCUUAACACAUGCAAGUCGAACGGAAAGGCCCUGCUUUUGUGGGGUGCUCGAGUGGCGAACGGGUGAGUAACACGUGAGUAACCUGCCCUUGACUUUGGGAUAACUUCAGGAAACUGGGGCUAAUACCGGAUAGGAGCUCCUGCUGCAUGGUGGGGGUUGGAAAGUUUCGGCGGUUGGGGAUGGACUCGCGGCUUAUCAGCCUGUUGGUGGGGUAGUGGCUUACCAAGGCUUUGACGGGUAGCCGGCCUGAGAGGGUGACCGGCGACAUUGGGACUGAGAUACGGCCCAGACUGCUACGGGAGGCAGCAGUGGGGAAUAUUGCACAAUGGGCGGAAGCCUGAUGCAGCAACGCCGCGUGCGGGAUGACGGCCUUCGGGUUGUAAACCGCUGUGGCCUGUGACGAAGCGUGAGUGACGGUAAUGGGUAAAGAAGCACCGGCUAACUACGUG
rnacentral:rRNA from 1 species